CUUCGGCAGCCGAAAAGCCUGCCUCCCCAGCCAUGUUCGGCGGCCGAAAGCUCCUUCGGCUGCCGAACCUGGUUUCUGCCAAAGGGCAGAAACUUGGCUCCCUUAAGCAUUUUCGCCUCCAAACUCACCAAUCAUGCAUAAACUUGUUCUAAAACAUGCAUACAAGUUCCUAGGGGUCUCAAACAAUCAAAUACCCCAACUACAACACUUCAACCACACAUAAACAACAUACAUUGCUCAAAUCGUCAUCAAAACCCAUAAACUCAACUUAAAGCCUAACAUGCAUCUCUACCCCAUAAAACAACUUAAAACUUACUUAAAACAUAUAAGGAGCUUAAGAUCGGCUCUUACCUCUUGAAGAUCGAGAGGGAGACGACCUAAACUUGGAGAUCCACGAAAAUGAGCUCCUGAGUUCCCAAAGCUCCAAAACUUGUUUCAAAAGUUCAAAACCUUCAAAGCAA
rnacentral:lncRNA from 1 species